rnacentral:rRNA from 1 species
UACGUAAGGGGUGCAGCGUUGUUCGGAAUCACUGGGCGUAAAGCGCGCGUAGGCGGAUUGUUAAGUCAGGGGUGAAAUGCCGAGGCUCAACCUCGGAACUGCCUUUGAUACUGGCAAUCUUGAGUCCGGGAGAGGUGAGUGGAACUCCUAGUGUAGAGGUGAAAUUCGUAGAUAUUAGGAAGAACACCAGUGGCGAAGGCGGCUCACUGGCCCGGAACUGACGCUGAUGUGCGAAAAGCGUGGGGGAGCAAACAGGG